UGAGUAACCUGCCCUUAACUCUGGGAUAAGCCUGGGAAACUGGGUCUAAUACCGGAUAUGACUCCUCAUCGCAUGGUGGGGGGUGGAAAGCUUUUAUGUUGGUUG
rnacentral:rRNA from 1 species